rnacentral:rRNA from 1 species
GUCUGCAACCCGACUACAUGAAGCUGGAAUCGCUAGUAAUCGCAGGUCAGCAUACUGCGGUGAAUACGUUCCCGGGUCUUGUACACGCCGCCCGUCACACCAUGGGAGCCGGAAAUGCCCGAAGCCAGUGACCCAACCUUAGGGAGGGAGCUGUCGAAGGUGGAGCCGGUAACUGGGGUGAAGUCGUAACAAGGUACC